UGCAGGCUGAUGCUCUAUCCAUUAGCCAAACCAGCUAGGGUGGGAAUAGGUUUUGAUUUAAAAACAGACGUUGUUUGAUGAGUUAUUCCUACCAUUUUGGUUCUAGUUGAGAACAGGUACGAGCCCGAUAGCGGUGGUCGCCCGUGUGAUGCCAGUUUCUCUGAAGAAUUGUCCUUCAGGGGGCCUGGCUUCCUACAGCAGAGGCACACUCACUCUCCUCCCCCUUGUUGGAGAGGCUGCGGGAAGGACUGACCUGAAUGCUUCGUUGCUGGAGCUUUUCUCCCCCAAAGCUGCCUAAUGCAACUGUGAGGACUCAGAGCCAGAUGACCAGCUUGGACAUGCAUAUUCCAGUGAAUGAAAAGAAAAUAGGAUUCCACCAAGUCUCCUAUCUACCUACUCCAGG